UACGUAGGUGGCAAGCGUUUGUCCGGAAUUAUUGGGCGUAAAGCGCGCGCAGGCGGUCUUUUUAAGUCUGAUGUGAAAGCCCACGGCUCAACCGUGGAGGGUCAUUGGAAACUGGGAGACUUUGAGUGCAGAAAGAGAAGAGCGGAAUUCCACGUGUAGCGGUGAAAUGCGUAGAGAUGUGGAGGAACACCAGUGGCGAAGGCGGCUCUUUGGUCUGUAACUGACGCUGAGGCGCGAAAGCGUGGGGGAGCGAACAGG
rnacentral:rRNA from 1 species